UUCCUUCAUGUCAGCCGCUACCAUUCCUGCCUCAACCAUUGCAACAGCCCCUGUGGUCUCAGAGCUUCCACAUUUGCCCCUCAGUCUAUUCUCCACACAGGAGCUCUCCCCCUUGCCUAGAAUCGAAUCCAAUAUAUGACUCACCCUGGCUAGAAGAACCUGUUUGCUCCGGGCCCUGGCUCCCUCUCUGAUCUCACCUGCCCCUCCCACUCCACGCCAGCCCACCAGCCUCCUUGCUGUCCUCCAAACAUACUGGGCAGCUUUCUCCUCAGGGCCUUACUGUUCCCUCCUCCUGGAGUGCUCCUCCCCCCAAGAUCUCUCCCAUUUCAUUCAGGUCUCUGCUCCAAUGGCACUGACAUAAAGAAAGGACACUCCCUGCACCCUGUCUACACCAGAGCCCUGGCCGUCCUUCUGCUCCUGCUGCUUCACCCUGCGCCCCUCCAGUGCCCUUCACAGCACUGACCAUCGUGUGGCGUGUUACAUGUGAACUCAUUUGUUGUAUUCUCUUUCUCCCCUACUAGAAUGUAAGCUCCGUCUGCUUGUUUACUGGUCAUCCCCAGGGCCUAGAACACCUGGCACAUGCCUGACCCUUAGAGGUCAAGCAAGAUCCUUCCAUGUAGGAUUGAACAAGCAGAGCCGAAUGACGGUGGAAAUACACCUCAGGUGAUCGCCCAGCUCUUCUCUCACCAGUCUGUCAUCCCAAACUCUGCUACUUUUAACAUCCCCAGAGAAAAUCACUGGUUCCCAACCAAGAAGAAGUCUACUCAACAGCUUUAGCAUUGUUAUCCAACAUUUAGACCCUACCUCCUGUCAGACUAUCAUGACUAUUUGUGUUUGAAGAUUGUCCACGCCAUGGUCAUUUACAGUGACAACAAUCUUCUCCCACCCUACCAAAAAAAAGCAUUUCUAACAAAACCUUCAGACAGUUUUGCCUCAGGAUCAUACUAAGAAUUUCCACUUGUCUCGAUAAAUGUCACCUAAAUAUUAAAAUAUUUUGGCUUUGA